rnacentral:rRNA from 1 species
AUUAAACGCUGGCGGCAUGCCUUACACAUGCAAGUCGAACGGUAGCGCGGGGCAACCUGGCGACGAGUGGCGAACGGGUGAGUAAAGCAUCGGAACGUGCCCUGGAAUGGGGGAUAACGUAGCGAAAGUUACGCUAAUACCGCAUAUUCUGUGAGCAGGAAAGCAGGGAAUCGCAAGACCUUGCGUUCUGGGAGCGGCCGAUGUCGGAUUAGCUAGUUGGUGGGGUAAAAGCCUACCAAGGCGACGAUCCGUAGCGGGUCUGAGAGGAUGAUCCGCCACACUGGGACUGAGACACGGCCCAGACUCCUACGGGAGGCAGCAGUGGGGAAUUUUGGACAAUGGGCGGAAGCCUGAUCCAGCCAUGCCGCGUGAGUGAAGAAGGCCUUCGGGUUGUAAAGCUCUCUCGGUGGGAAGAAAUUGCACGGGUUAAUACCCUGUGUAGAUGACGGUACCCGACUAAGAAGCACCGGCUAACUACGUGCCAGCAGCCGCGGUAAU